GAUUGGUCCGAGUACAGUGGUAUUUACAACUAAUUGAUUACAACCAGUUACAGAUUCCUUUGUUUCUUCUCCACUCCCACUGCUUCACUUGACCAGACUUAA
rnacentral:Y_RNA from 1 species